GAAAAUCAUUCUGGAGCUAAGGAAGAAGAGGGUGGAUAGUAAAAGGAAGUAGAAAGAAAAAGAGUGAGUGUAGCUAAAAUGAAAAGACAGAGUUAGGACAACGUAUCCCAGGAGACACUGAAAUUCGAAGCACAUUGAAAGGAAGUGGACUUAACAAAAAGACAGCAGGUAAGAAAAGAAACAACUUGCUGAGACUCUGACGCUGACAUCAAGAAAAACCUGGCUAGAAUCGGUGGAAACUAAGAUGGCUGACUGGAGUUUGCACAGAACAAGCUUGCUGGCGUCCCAGCCCGAAUUUCCACAUGUUUCAUACUAACUCCCCCCAAAUUCACACAUGUGACCCAUGAGAUAGCAGGAAGAAACAACUGGACAUGCGCAGGGCCUUCCCAGACCUCCUGUUUCCUUUCACCAGUUACCUAUAUAGUCUCAGAAUCUAACCCCUGAACCUUUUCUAAUAAAAAUACUGCUUGGAAGCCAGUGCAGGGAAACAGAUUUGAACUUGACUCCUGUCUCCUUGAGAGUCCACUUUCAACAUAAAUCUUUUCUUUUCUCCAAAACCUGGUGUCACAGUAUUGGCUUCUAGUGCACUGGGCACCCUCCCUUUUACUCAAUAACAUCAGUCAGCUUCUGAGUGGUGCCCACUCAAUGUCUUAUGUGAGGACACACUUUUAUUCAAGCCACAUCUGGGAGGAGAAAAAUCUCCCGGCUAAUAAUCAAAGUUCCAGUAACUGAAGUGGGAAUAUUCCUUAUAGAACUGACAUCUGCACCAG
rnacentral:lncRNA from 1 species